rnacentral:tRNA from 1 species
UCCCUGAUGGUCUAGUAGUUAAGACUAUGCACUUUCACUGCUGCAGCCCAGGUUUAAUCUCUGGUCUGAGAA